AGUGAACGCUGGCGGUAGGCCUAACACAUGCAAGUCGAACGGCAGCACAGUAAGAGCUUGCUCUUACGGGUGGCGAGUGGCGGACGGGUGAGGAAUACAUCGGAAUCUACUUUUUCGUGGGGGGUAACGUAGGGAAACUUACGCUAAUACCGCAUACGACCUACGGGUGAAAGCAGGAGAUCUUCGGACCUUGCGCGAUUGAAUGAGCCGAUGUCGGAUUAGCUAGUUGGCGGGGUAAAGGCCCACCGAGGCGACGAUCCGUAGCUGGUCUGAGAGGAUGAUCAGCCACACUGGAACUGAGACACGGUCCAGACUCCUACGGGAGGCAGCAGUGGGGAAUAUUGGACAAUGGGCGCAAGCCUGAUCCAGCCAUACCGCGUGGGUGAAGAAGGCCUUCGGGUUGUAAAGCCCUUUUGUUGGGAAAGAAAAGCAGCAGGUUAAUACCCCGCUGUUCUGACGGUACCCAAAGAAUAAGCACCGGCUAACUUCGUG
rnacentral:rRNA from 1 species